CCUCAACCUCUAGUGUCCUGUAUCUGUUGUGGAAGGGCAACUGAGGAGCUGUGACCUUUCUGUGUGGGGAGACAGUUUAUUUAGACUGUAUAAACUCUGCAUAGAUGUGCACUCUCAAUAAGAGCAAGAACAAACAAUAAAUGAGUAACAAUGGAGAAAAAAAACAUUAUAACCUAGAGCAAAAAGUGCAUCUCUUCAUGAAGACAGAAGCAUACAGAUACAAAAAGGUCUCUGAAGGCAAGUUCUGAGGGUCACCAAAAUGAGUCUAAAUAUGUUUAACUGUGUAAUGAAUUUUACAUCUAACCAUAAAACAUCCCUUGUGUAUUUAUGGAGAAA